rnacentral:rRNA from 1 species
GUUGUAUAGUCAAGUAAUUAAGUGCAUGUGGUGGAUGCCUUGGCAGUCAGAGGCGAUGAAAGACGUGAUAGCCUGCGAAAAGCUCCGGGGAGGCGGCAAAUAUCCUUUGAUCCGGAGAUGUCUGAAUGGGGGAACCCACCUACUUUAAGGUAGGUAUUGCAACAUGAAUACAUAGUGUUGCAAGGCGAACGAGGGGAAGUGAAACAUCUCAGUACCCUUAGGAAAAGAAAUCAAUUGAGAUUCCCUCAGUAGCGGCGAGCGAACGGGGAUCAGCCCAUUAAGUUAUGUGUGUUUUAGUGGAACGCUCUGGGAAGUGCGAACGUAGAGGGUGAUAUUCCCGUACACGAAAGGGCACACAUAAUGAUGACGAGUAGGGCGAGGCACGUGAAACCUUGUCUGAAUAUGGGGGGACCAUCCUCCAAGGCUAAAUACUCCUGACUGACCGAUAGUGAACCAGUACCGUGAGGGAAAGGCGAAAAGAACCCCUGUGAGGGGAGUGAAAUAGAUCCUGAAACCGCAUGCAUACAAGCAGUGGGAGCACCUUCGUGGUGUGACUGCGUACCUUUUGUAUAAUGGGUCAGCGACUUAUAUUCAGUAGCGAGGUUAACCGUAUAGGGGAGCCGUAGAGAAAUCGAGUCUUAAUAGGGCGUUUAGUUGCUGGGUAUAGACCCGAAACCAGGCGAUCUAUCCAUGAGCAGGUUGAAGGUUGGGUAACACUAACUGGAGGACCGAACCCACUGUCGUUGAAAAGCCAGGGGAUGACUUGUGGAUAGGGGUGAAAGGCUAAUCAAGCCUGGUGAUAGCUGGUUCUCCCCGAAAGCUAUUUAGGUAGCGCCUCGGACGAAUACCAUAGGGGGUAGAGCACUGUUUCGGCUAGGGGGUCAUCCCGACUUACCAAACCGAUGCAAACUCCGAAUACCUAUGAGUACUAUCCGGGAGACAGACUGCGGGUGCUAACGUCCGUAGUCAAGAGGAAAACAAUCCAGACCGCCAGCUAAGGCCCCAAAAUCAUAGUUAAGUGGGAAACGAUGUGGGAAGGCAUAGACAGCUAGGAGGUUGGCUUAGAAGCAGCCACCCUUUAAAGAAAGCGUAAUAGCUCACUAGUCGAGUCGGCCUGCGCGGAAGAUGUAACGGGGCUAAAACUAUGUGCCGAAGCUGCGGAUGUAUACUUUGUAUACGUGGUAGGGGAGCGUUCUGUAAGCCGAUGAAGGUGUGUUGAGAAGCAUGCUGGAGGUAUCAGAAGUGCGAAUGCUGACGUGAGUAACGACAAAACGGGUGAAAAACCCGUUCGCCGAAAGACCAAGGGUUCCAGUCCAACGUUAAUCGGGGCUGGGUGAGUCGACCCCUAAGGCGAGGCCGAAAGGCGUAGUCGAUGGGAAAAUGGUUAAUAUUCCAUUACUUCUGUGUAAUGCGAUGAGAGGACGGAGAAGGCUAAAUCAGCCUGGCGUUGGUUGUCCAGGUGAAAGGAUGUAGGCAUGUAUCUUAGGCAAAUCCGGGGUACUCUAUGCUGAGAUCUGAUAGCAAGCUGUACUUGUACAGCGAAGUGGUUGAUGCCAUGCUUCCAGGAAAAGUCUCUAAGCUUCAGUUACACAGGAAUCGUACCCGAAACCGACACAGGUGGUCAGGUCGAGUAGACCAAGGCGCUUGAGAGAACUCUGCUGAAGGAACUAGGCAAAAUGGUACCGUAACUUCGGGAGAAGGUACGCUGUUGUUGGUGAUGGAACUCGCUUCCUGAGCUGACGACAGCCGCAGAAACCAGGCCGCUGCAACUGUUUAUUAAAAACAUAGCACUCUGCAAACACGAAAGUGGACGUAUAGGGUGUGAUGCCUGCCCGGUGCUGGAAGGUUAAUUGAUGGGGUUAGCGUAAGCGAAGCUCUUGAUCGAAGCCCCAGUAAACGGCGGCCGUAACUAUAACGGUCCUAAGGUAGCGAAAUUCCUUGUCGGGUAAGUUCCGACCUGCACGAAUGGCAUAAUGAUGGCGGCGCUGUCUCCAGCAGAGGCUCAGUGAAAUCGAAAUCGCUGUGAAGAUGCAGUGUACCCGCGGCUAGACGGAAAGACCCCGUGAACCUUUACUGCAGCUUGACACUGAACUUUGACCUUACUUGUGUAGGAUAGGUGGGAGGCUUUGAAGCUGGAACGCUAGUUCCAGUGGAGCCGUCCUUGAAAUACCACCCUGGUAAUGUUGAGGUUCUAACUCUGUCCCGUGAUCCGGGACGAGGACCGUGUCUGGUGGGUAGUUUGACUGGGGCGGUCUCCUCCUAAAGAGUAACGGAGGAGUAC